rnacentral:rRNA from 1 species
AUACGGAGGGUCCGAGCGUUAUCCGGGAUUUAUUGGGUUUAAAGGGUGCGUAGGCGGUUUUAUAAGUCAGCGGUGAAAUUUUUCCGGCUCAACCGGGAUACUGCCGUUGAUACUGUAAGGCUAGGAUAUGGUUGCUGUGGGCGGAAUGUGUGGUGUAGCGGUGAAAUGCUUAGAGAUCACACAGAAUAUCGAUUGCGAAGGCAGCUCACAAAGCCAUUAUUGACGCUGAGGCACGAAAGUGUGGGGAUC